GGGGGGGCGGGGCUUGCUCCUCGUGGCUGUGAGGGCGGGGCUUGCUCCUCGUGGCUGUGAGGGCGGGGCUUGCUCCUCGUGGCUGUGGGGGUGACUCUGCAUGUUCAUGGCACUGGGCUUCCGUCAGUCUGGUCCCGAAGGCUCCGGUUUGAAUUUUGCACAGAGAAACAUGGAAAGAAUAUCAAAAAAUACCUUUGUUAAAAAUGCAGGGUGGUAAGUAAGCCACAGUUGUGUUUGAGCUCAUAACAAGCCUUAGCAUAUUGCGCUGGUUUAUAAUUCAGAUUCCCUUUAACACAUCUUAUUUCUAUUAGAAUAAAAAACCAAACAAAAUUAUGCCUUAAAACACACCAAGAUGAUAAUGUCCUCAGUUCUGGUUCCUCGGUAAAUUCAGUUGGGAAUUAAAAUAUUGUUACAGAACUAAAUCUUUUUUUAUUGCAUUUAUGUAUAAAAUAUUAAUUUUAUUAAAACAUUAUGUAGGCAAUAAAGUUAACUAACACAGUGACGUAAUCAAGGGCCCCGAGGUCACGGCCUCCCUGCCAGUGACGUAAUCAAGGGCCCCGAGGUCACGGCCUCCCUGCCAGUGACGUAAUCAAGGGCCCCGAGGUCACGGCCUCCCUGCCAGUGACGUAAUCAAUCACGAUUGAUUGAUUCCAGGCCUAGCAAAGAUAGUGCUUCAUAAACUGGACGCACUAGUCAAAGUAUAGAUGAUCCUCAGAGGGAAUUGGUCUUUUCCCUUGAAUAAUAAUCUUUUAAGUUGCUUCCAUAAGAAUAUACAUUAGCAUAUUUUAAUUGGAGUUGUUUUGGCUCAAGGAGCCACAGUGAAAAGGUACAAUUACACUGUAGUGUCAAUGAAAAGGUGUACAGAAAAUGUAGAAAGUGGAUAAAAUUGACCUGGAAACUUAGAAACAUCUGCUGGGUGCUUUGAGCAGGGACACGCAUGGAGGCUGUCCCUUUGUCCUUUGUAGUUUUGUAAUUCAAAAAAGAUGAUCAGAUUGAGAAUAGGUUAGAUUUCAGACACCUGACACUGUGAGUACUGUAUAAGUGGGUCUUAGGCUGGGCGUUGGUCUCCUGCAAGUGACCCAAACGUGCGGGAAGUAAAAGCCAGAAGGGCCCCAGGCCCCCCACUGCUGAGUGUGCUUGUUGAUAAGGUGUUGUGACAUAAACCCAAGCCCAGGUGGUGGGAUGGGUGGGGCUGUGGGGGGGAGGGGUGAGUCAGCUCUGCUCUGAAUGUAAUCCUGCAAGUUCUCCCUGGUUGUGAGUUUUUGAGGAUUAAAUAGCUUUUGUGUGAAAUUUCUUUGGUUACGAUCUUGCGGAGGGUCUACCAGCUUCGGAGACAAUGUAUCAUUUUGUGAGAGAUCACGCCCUGUGAAAUAAAACUGCUUUUGUUGAACCGA